rnacentral:lncRNA from 1 species
GGCUAACUUCACUUAGCAUUAUCUUUUCCAAUGCCAUCCAUUUACCUGCAAAUGCCAUGGUUCUGUUCUUUUUUAAUGCUGAGUCCCCAGCCCCAUUUUGUAUUUUAUUUAGAGACAGGGUCUCACUGAGUUACUUAGCGCCUUGCUGUUGCUGAGGCUGGCUUUGAACUGGAGAUCCUCCUGCCUCAGCCUCCAGAGCUGCUGGGAUGACAGGUGUGCAACACCGUGCCCAGCUGGUGGGAGAGAAUCCCAACAGUCCAGUUCCCCACUUUCCCAGUUAAGGGUGACUGUGGCCUAUUUCUGGCCAAGGGACCUACACAAAAGUCGGCCAGGUUGGGUAUAGAGUGAGAGCCAGGACUCGGGAAACUCCUGUUUUCCCCUGUUGUCGUGAAUAUAGACAUGAUGUGGUGCCGGUGUGGUGGCAGCCAUCUCAUUACCAUGAAGGAAACGUCAAGAGAAGCAGAGUCAUUCAUCCUGACGUCGUUGAGCUGCUGAACCCAAACGGGCAGCCGUCUGCUUCUGGCCUCGGUGUCUCAGAUAGACAAACCCCUCCUGGUCUACGGUCACUCAGGCCAGGCUUUCUGUUUCUUGAAUUGAACACACAUCCAACUGGUACAGAGGUAGAGGAAGGAAACUGCUGCCCACAUGAUUUGGCUCUGCUCCUGUUUGAGAAUCACAGACAAAUUCAGAGGACAAUUUAAUCAGAUGCCUGGAACCAUAGGCUCCGCUCCAGCCUCGGUAGAGAACAGGAGAGAACUGCCAAAUCUCAUCACCCACAGCACAGAGCAGCACCCCGUGAAGCCUAGAGGUAAUGAUGUGUCUCCGUCUCACCCACCGGGAGAGCCCUGGCAGCCAGACACAUCCAGUGAUGGAUACUGCCACAUCAGCGGUGAGCUGGCUGGGACUGCAGCCCCCGAUCACCAACAGGGUCCCACCAGAGAAAGGGUGACCUGA